UUGACAACUUGACCUCAAAUCAGGUAGGACUACCCGCUGAACUUAAGCAUAUCAAUAAGCGGAGGAAAAGAAACUAACAAGGAUUCCCCUACUAACUGCGAGUGAAGCGGGAUGAGCUCAAAUUUUGAAUCUGGCGGUCUUUGGCCGUCCGAGUUGUAAUCUAGAGAAGCGUCUUCCGCGCUGGCCCGUGUACAAGUCUCCUGGAAAGGAGCGUCAUAGAGGGUGAGAAUCCCGUCUUUGACACGGACUACCAGUGCUAUGUGAUGCGCUCUCGACGAGUCGAGUUGUUUGGGAAUGCAGCUCAAAACGGGUGGUAAAUUCCAUCUAAAGCUAAAUACAGGCGAGAGACCGAUAGCGAACAAGUACCGUGAGGGAAAGAUGAAAAGAACUUUGGAAAGAGAGUUAAACCGUACGUGAAAUUGCUGAAAGGGAAACGCUUGAUGUCAGUCGCGUCGGCCGGGGAUCAACCUCGCUUCAUCGCUGGGUGUAUUUCCUGGUCGACGGGUCAGCAUCGGUUUCGGUCGCCGUACAAGGGCGAGGGGAACGUGGCACUCUCCGGAGUGUGUUAUAGCCCUUCGUCGCAUGCGGUGGUCGGGACCGAGGAACUCGGCACGGCUUCGGCCUGUGCUUAGGAUGCUGGCAUAAUGGCCUUAAGCGACCCGUCUUGAAACACGGACCAAGGAGUCUAACAUGCCUGCGAGUGUUUGGGUGGCAAACUCGAGCGCGAAAUGAAAGUGAAAGUCGAGACCUCUGUCGUGGAGGGCACCGACGCCCGGACCCGAGUCUUUGACGAAGGAUCUGCGGUAGAGCAUGCAUGUUGGGACCCGAAAGAUGGUGAACUAUGCCUGAAUAGGGUGAAGCCAGAGGAAACUCUGGUGGAGGCUCGUAGCGAUUCUGACGUGCAAAUCGAUCGUCGAAUUGGCUAUAGGGGCGAAAGACUAUAGACGACCUGGCGCUGA
rnacentral:rRNA from 1 species